CCUGGAGAUCGGCUGAAUGGAUUCGAAAACGGUUAAACUGUUUAUCUCUGGGGGAGUUGUAAAAUGACCCUAUUUCCAAAAAAAAGUGGAGUAUCCAUUUAAGCUGUAGAGAAGAAACCAACUACAGUAGUUAAUUAACUCUCAUGAAUUAGACGAAAUGACUGACAACAUGGGCACUAUUUUCUCUAAUACAUUAGAAGCUGUUGCCCCCAUCAAAUUGAAAAAGGUUAGAGAAAAACGUAUUGUGCCAUGGUAUAACAGUAAUACUCACUCUCUCAAGAAAGUAACUCGUAGUCUUGAACGCAAAUGGAGAAAAACUAACUUGGAAGUUUUUAGAAUUGCAUGGAAAAACAGUAUGUCCAACUAUAGACAGGCUCUAAAAACUGCGAGGGCAGAGCAUAUACACAAACUCAUUGAAAAUAACAAAAACAAUCCAAGGUUUUUAUUUGGCACAGUGGCUAAAUUGACAAAUUACCAGACGCCACCUGAUUCAAAUAUUCCACCAACGUUAAAUAGUAAUGACUUUAUGAAUUUCUUCACUGAUAAAAUAGAUAACAUUAGAAAUACAAUAGCGAAUGUAGAUUAUACAGCGUCUAACACUUCAGUUUCGUCCAUCGCACCCAAAGAUAAACUGCAGUGCUUUACAACCAUAGGACAGGAAGAACUAAAUAAACUUAUCACUGUAUCUAAACCAACAACAUGUUUAUUAGAUCCUGUACCCACUAAAUUACUGAAAGAGUUGUUACCUGUAGCGGAAGAACCGCUUCUCAAUAUCAUUAACUCGUACUUUUUCUUUAGGCCACGUCCCAAAACCAUUCAAGCUGGCGAUUAUCCAGCCUCUUAUUAAGAAACCAAAACUAGAUCCUAGUGUACUGGCAUAUUAUAGGCCUAUUUCAAAUCUUCCAUUUAUGUCUAAAAUUUUUGAAAAAAUUGUGUCUGCUCAAUUGAGCACCUUCCUGCACAAAAAUGAUCUGUAUGAAGAAUUUCAGUCAGGUUUCAGGCCCCACCAUAGCA
rnacentral:lncRNA from 1 species